rnacentral:rRNA from 1 species
UACAGAGGGGGCAAGCGUUGUUCGGAAUUACUGGGCGUAAAGGGCGCGUAGGCGGCCUGCUAAGUCGGACGUGAAAUCCCUGGGCUCAACCCAGGAACUGCGUCCGAUACUGGUUGGCUUGAAUCCGGGAGAGGGAUGUGGAAUUCCAGGUGUAGUGGUGAAAUGCGUAGAUAUCGGGAGGAACACCAGUGGCGAAGGCGACUACCUGGCCUGUUUCUUGACGCUGAGGCGCGAAAGCUAGGGGAGCAAACGGG